CAGCACUGUGGUUGGUCAUCUUUGUGCAAGUGGUAGUGUCAUAAUGCAUUUUCAUUGUGUUCAGUUUGGUAUUCAUCUGCAAAAUCCCAUAAUAUAGCAAAAACUCUGUGAUACAGAAUUAGAUAUAUUUAACAACAACAAAAAACACAAUACAAUGAAGUUGCAAUAAGUGAAUCAUGAUAUAGCGAGGGACGACUGUACCCCACCAUAUCUACUGUUCUCCAAACUCAGUAUGGUAUUUCAUCCUUUUGUAUGAGCUUUAGUGAAUUCCUGGAAUAUUCUCCCAACUCACCAAUGCCUCUCAAAAUACUUCAUUUCCUUCAGGUUUCCAUCUCCAAAGAGAAACUUUUGUUACUCCCUGUAAAUACUUUGAUGCUAAUGGUGAAGAAAUAUUGCAUAACUGAGGAAGAAAAACCAGAGGCUCCCUUUCCAGAUUCUCAACAGCUUUAAUGCUUUUUUCUUCAUUGGCACAGCCCAGGUGACCUAUAGGCAUCUUAAUUUCCAUUUGAAUCAUUGUCCUUAGGAUUCCAGGGGCUGCGU
rnacentral:lncRNA from 1 species